rnacentral:sRNA from 1 species
UGUCUAAAAGAAUCUGGAGGGUGAGAGCCCUCGCCGGUUAGAGCCGAGCGCAAAGCGCGAGACAGCGCCAACACGAAGUGAUGGCGACCCGAAGGGCGAAGGCUACGCCUGAGUCAUCCCUCCUUCACCGCCA